rnacentral:rRNA from 11 species
AUAGUAAUUCAACUCAGUCCGAGAGGAACCGUUGAUUCAGAUAUUUGGUAUUUUCGCUUAGCUGAGAAGCUAGUGGCGAGAAGCUACCAUCUGUAGGAUUAUGACUGAACGCCUCUAAGUCAGAAUCCAUGCCAGAAACGAGAACGGUGCCCGAUUACGCGAGUAUCGAUAGCUUCGGCCUGUACCGUAUAAUUCACUCGGGUUUCCAGAUGAGAUCUGGAGCCUUGUGGUAGAAUAGCAAUUUCGAAUUUGGGCGCAGGAGAUCCUUUGCAGACGACUUAACAAGCAACGGGGUAUUGUAAGCAGUAGAGUAGCCUUGUUGCUACGAUCUGCUGAGAUUAAGCCUUGGUUGU